rnacentral:tRNA from 1 species
GGGCCUGUAGCUCAGUUGGUCAGAGCGACGAGCUUAUACCUCGUUGGUCGUAGGUUCGAGUCCUACCAGGCCCA